GACGAACGCUGGCGGCGUGCUUAACACAUGCAAGUCGAACGGAAAGGCCCUGCUUUUCGGGUACUCGCGUGGCGAACGGGUGAGUAACACACGGGUGUACUCCCCUCCUCUCCGGGAUAAGCCUGGAAAAAUCGGGGUAUUACCCGGUGUGACAUUUCCUGCAGCGUGGGGGGGGGUAAGAUGUAUCGGUGUGGGAUGAGCCCGCGGCCUAUCAGCUUGUUGGUGGGGUAGUGGCGUACCAAGGCGUCGACGGGUAGCCGGCCUGAGAGGGUGGACGGCCACAUUGGGACUGAGAUACGGCCCAGACUCCUACGGGAGGCAGCAGUGGGGAAUAUUGCACAAUGGGCGGAAGCCUGAUGCAGCGACGCCGCGUGGGGGAUGACGGCCUUCGGGUUGUAAACCGCUUUCGACAGGGACGAAGCGUGGGUGACGGUACCGGUAUAAGAAGCACCGGCUAACUACGUG
rnacentral:rRNA from 1 species